rnacentral:rRNA from 1 species
CCUACGGGAGGCAGCAGUAGGGAAUUUUUGUCAAUGGACGCAAGUCCGAACAAGCAAUGCCGCGUGAGUGAUGACGGUCUUCGGAUUGUAAAGCUCUGUUGUAAGGGAAGAAUAGUUAGAAGAGGAAAUGCUUUUAAUUUGACGGUACCUUACCAGAAAGCCACGGCUAACUAUGUGCCAGCAGCCGCGGUAAU